AUUUCUAUAUUUUCUCCUUCUCUAUGUAACAAAAAGGAAAGAAAAAUAAAACAUUUAAUUGCCGGAAGUAUUGCUCUACAAGUAUGUUUCUCUGUCAUUAAGAUACAUAAAUUGGCAGGUUUGACAGGUUCUCUAUCCAUCAGGAGUACCUCAAUACACAAAUCAUGAUAUGAGAAGAAAAAAUGUAAAAACAAUGCAAUGUAUGGAGGACAGAUAGAAGCUACUUGAAUAGUUUUUAGUCAAUUUGAAUCCAAUGCAAAUAAGGAAGAAAUAAUCCAUUGGAGAUGUACACUAAGUGCAAGAACAAUAUGAAGCAAGUACAAAAUAUGCGGACCAAGUGAGGUGGAGGUUUAAAUGCAUGAACCCAAUGAACUAAAAAAAAAAAAAAACCCUAAGUUAUUUAAUGCAAAUUA
rnacentral:misc_RNA from 1 species